UACAGAGGUCUCAACCGUUGUUCGGAUUUACUGGGCGUAAAGGGCGCGUAGGCGGCCAUUCAAGUCAGCUGUGAAAUCUCCGGGCUUAACUCGGAACGGUCAGCUGAUACUGCUUUGCUAGAGUGCAGAAGGGGCAAUCGGAAUUCUUGGUGUAGCGGUGAAAUGCGUAGAUAUCAAGAGGAACACCUGAGGUGAAGACGGGUUGCUGGGCUGACACUGACGCUGAGGCGCGAAAGCUAGGGUAGCAAACGGG
rnacentral:rRNA from 1 species